rnacentral:piRNA from 1 species
CAAUGCUGUGUGCCUUGGUAACUCGA